GUCCUAGCCGUAAACGUUGGGUGCUAGGUGUGGGCGGUCAUCAACCCCGUCCGUGCCGAAGCUAACGCAUUAAGCACCCCGCCUGGGGAGUACGGCCGCAAGGCUAAAACUCAAAGGAAUUGACGGGGCCCCGCACAAGCGGCGGAGCAUGUUGCUUAAUUCGAUGCGACGCGAAGAACCUUACCUGGGCUUGACAUGCAGGGUGAAACCCGUGAAAGCGGCGCUCUUCGGAGCCUGCACAGGUGGUGCAUGGCUGUCGU
rnacentral:rRNA from 1 species